rnacentral:sRNA from 1 species
AAUAUGUCUUCCAAUAUAUCUUACAGUCCUGUGAUAGACUCAGCGUCUUAGCUCAUGGAAACUAUAUACAGAGCUGGAGGAGAAAGACAGGGAGUAGGGUUGUUAUGUAUGUACACACGGUACACACUGACAGGUUUAUCCAAGUAGAGAAAGGCGGGGUGGAUGCCAGAGACAUUGAUCGGAACUUGUUUGUGUUGGGAGCUGGGAAGUGACUGGAGACACAGUUGUUCUGAGGACUAGUGUGCACAUGGAAUGAGCGCAAGCAUUCUUUAAAGCCAGGGGACUUGCCCUUCUGACCCACUUUGGUACCUUGCAGACAGGUGAGCUGGGAAGAGGCCAGGAAGGACUUAAGUCAACUGCGCUUUGUGGCCAGGUAGCUGAGGAAGCCUCCAGGAGGACAAGUCAUGUGUCUGGCCUUUGCAGGGUUUAUGCCCUUUGAACGUUUAUCCAUCCACGUCGCCCAGGGUUGAGUGCUGCAUGACUACUCUCCCACUUGUUAAGGGACUACCCUGCUUUCCAGGCCCUGCAGGGACCUAAAAUAACCAGGCAGCUUUCCCAAGAAGAGCCCCUCAUGAAAGGCAUAGCUGCUCACUCUGUCUCUGGUGUUAGAGACACAGCGUUGCUCUCCUAUAGAGGCAAUCUGGGAAAUCCUACUUACUUUGGCUGACUCACCCAACAAGGAUUCUCCUGCCUCAAAAUGAAGGAACAACUCAACCGCCCUGCGAGGUUAGAGAUUAGAUGCUGAGCUGCGCCCAAAGCCACACAUCUGCAGAAUGAGGAAAUGACCUUGACGGCUCCUGAGGAUGCCACCUGUCCACCACUCCUCGGGGUUGGGAGGGGUGUGUGUGUGGGGGGCGGGGGAAGAAUGACUGAUAAGCUUUAAGAAGUCACCCUCAAGGUUCUGUUGGAAGUCAAACCACCGCUCUACUCCCAGAGUGUGGGACAGGAGGAACUGUGGGGGAGGGGACUUUCGGAGAGUGUCAUUAGGAGUCCCGGCAGCUUAAAAUCCUCACUGUCUCUCUGAGACCCUUCAAAACACGUUCACUAGGGUUAUGAUGUUAUUAAAUAAGACCCAGCCAGGCUGGGCUGCUUUUGCUGUCAUUUUUAAACUAAAGAGGUAGGUACAGCAUCUGAAGGAAAGGUAUGAGGGGUGUUGGAGCUGGGUAGGACCUCCCACGCCAUAGCCAGAAAUGGCAAGUGAUUUGGGCUUGAUGGUGCCCCUCCCCCGGGGCGGUGAGGACAGAGUAACAGGUACAUUUGCUGAGGGUACAAACCACGGGAAGCAGAGCCCCGUGAUGUCGCCUUGGACUGUUCAGUAGGGUGAGAGCAUUGUGACGCUGAGCAUCUUACCUCAGCUUCCUGGCAAACAGUAUGCUUGGUAGAUAUCUACCAAGGUGAAGGAGGUCUGGAUGUGCCAAAGUGCAGGCGAGGUUUCUCUGAGUAAACAAACAGACCUCUCCUCCCACCACCACUUCUGUGGCAGAAGAGUGGGUGACCGCCAUGAGACAGCUAUACCCUUGAAUGGAGGCUGGAAUGUGUGGGUGUGUGCACCAUGCAGCUGCUCCUACCUGUUGCGGCAGGAUCUCAGGGUCACUUCCGUUAGCAUUCCGUCUAAGCUCCACCCCCA